CGCGUAGGCGGGAUGGCAAGUCGGUCGUGAAAUCCUUCGGCUCAACCGAAGAACGUCGAUCGAUACUGCUGUUCUUGAGGAUUGCAGAGGAGACUGGAAUUCCCGGUGUAGCGGUGAAAUGUGUAGAGAUCGGGAGGAACACCGGUGGCGAAGGCGGGUCUCUGGGCAAUUCCUGACGCUGAGGCGCGAAAGCGUGGGGAGCAAACGGGAUUAGAUACCCCGGUAGUCCACGCUGUAAACGAUGACGACUAGGUGUAGGGGGGUUCAGUCCCCUCCGUGCCGCAGCUAACGCAUUAAGUCGUCCGCCUGGGGAGUACGGCCGCAAGGUUGAA
rnacentral:rRNA from 1 species